rnacentral:rRNA from 1 species
GUGCCAGCCGCCGCGGUAACACGUAGGGUGCGAGCGUUGUCCGGAAUUAUUGGGCGUAAAGAGCUCGUAGGCGGUGUGUCGCGUCGGCCGUGAAAACUUGGGGCUUAACUCUGAGCGUGCGGUCGAUACGGGCAUCACUUGAGUUCGGCAGGGGAGACUGGAAUUCCUGGUGUAGCGGUGAAAUGCGCAGAUAUCAGGAGGAACACCGGUGGCGAAGGCGGGUCUCUGGGCCGAUACUGACGCUGAGGGGCGAAAGCAUGGGGAGCGAACAGGAUUAGAAACCCUGGUAGUCC